rnacentral:rRNA from 1 species
GAUGAACGCUGGCGGCGUGCCUAAUACAUGCAAGUCGAGCGAACAGACGAGGAGCUUGCUCCUCUGACGUUAGCGGCGGACGGGUGAGUAACACGUGGAUAACCUACCUAUAAGACUGGGAUAACUUCGGGAAACCGGAGCUAAUACCGGAUAACAUGUUGAACCGCAUGGUUCAACAGUGAAAGACGGUCUUGCCGUCACUUAUAGAUGGAUCCGCGCCGCAUUAGCUAGUUGGUAAGGUAACGGCUUACCAAGGCAACGAUGCGUAGCCGACCUGAGAGGGUGAUCGGCCACACUGGAACUGAGACACGGUCCAGACUCCUACGGGAGGCAGCAGUAGGGAAUCUUCCGCAAUGGGCGAAAGCCUGACGGAGCAACGCCGCGUGAGUGAAGAAGGUCUUCGGAUCGUAAAACUCUGUUACUAGGGAAGAACAAAUGUGUAAGUAACUAUGCACGUCUUGACGGUACCUAAUCAGAAAGCCACGGCUAACUACGUG